CCUACGGGAGGCAGCAGUGAGGAAUAUUGGUCAAUGGGCGCAAGCCUGAACCAGCCAAGUCGCGUGAGGGAUGACGGCCCUACGGAUUGUAAACCUCUUUUAUCAGGGAAUAAAGUGCGGCACGUGUGCCGUUUUGUAUGUACCUUAUGAAUAAGGAUCGGCUAACGCCGUGCCCGCAGCCGCGGUAAUACGGAGGAUCCGAGCGUUAUCCGGAUUUAUUGGGUUUAAAGGGUGCGUAGGGGGGCUUUUAAGGUAAGUGUGAAAGUUUGUGGCUCAACCAUAGAAUUGCCAUUGAAACUGGGAGCCUUGAGUAGAAUUGAGGUAGGCGGAAUGCGUGGUGUAGCGGUGAAAUGCUUAGAUAUCACGCAGAACCCCGAUUGCGAAGGCAGCCUGCCAAGCCACGACUGACGCUGAUGCACGAAAGCGUGGGGAUCAAACAGGAUUAGAUACCCUAGUAGUC
rnacentral:rRNA from 1 species